rnacentral:rRNA from 1 species
GAUCCUGGCUCAGAACGAACGCUGGCGGCGCGUUUAAGCAUGCAAGUCGAGCGGCAAGGGCCUUCGGGCCCUAGAGCGGCGGACGGGUGAGUAACACGUGGACAAUCUGCCCCCGGCCCGGGAUAGCCCAGGGAAACCUGGAUUAAUACCGGAUGAGACGGGACCCGCGAUGGCGGGAUCCGGGAAAGGCGCUGCGGCGCCGCCGGGGGAUGAGUCUGCGUCCCAUUAGCUAGACGGCGGGGUAACGGCCCACCGUGGCGACGAUGGGUAGCCGGCCUGAGAGGGUCGGACGGCCACAUUGGAACUGAGACACGGUCCAGACUCCUACGGGAGGCAGCAGCUAAGAAUCUUCCGCAAUGGGCGAAAGCCUGACGGAGCCGACGCCGCGUGAACGAAGAAGGCCGUGAGGUUGUAAAGUUCUUUUCGGGAGGGGGAACAACCGUGGCAGGGAAUGGCCGCGGGGUGACGUGAAUCCCGGAAUAAGCCCCGGCUAACUACGUGCCAGCAGCCGC